rnacentral:rRNA from 1 species
UGAGGAAUCUUGCGCAAUGGGGGAAACCCUGACGCAGCAACGCCGCGUGAGUGAGGAAGGUCUUCGGGUCGUAAAGCUCUGUCAGGCGGGAAGAAAUGCAUGGAGGUGAACAGCCGCCGUGCUUGACGGUACCGCCAGAGGAAGCACCGGCUAACUCCGUGCCAGCAGCCGCGGUAAUACGGGGGGUGCAAGCGUUGUUCGGAAUCACUGGGCGUAAAGAGCGUGUAGGCGGCUUGGUAAGUCAGAUGUGAAAGCCCUGGGCUCAACCCGGGAAGUGCAUUUGAAACUGUCAGGCUCGAGUAGGGGAGAGGGAAGUGGAAUUCCUGGUGUAGAGGUGAAAUUCGUAGAUAUCAGGAGGAACACCGGUGGCGAAGGCGACUUCCUGGCCCUAUACUGACGCUGAGACGCGAGAGCGUGGGUAGCAAACAG